rnacentral:rRNA from 1 species
GGGAGGCAGCAGUGAGGAAUUUUGCGCAAUGGGCGAAAGCCUGACGCAGCGACGCCGCGUGGAGGAUGAAGGUUUUCGGAUUGUAAACUCCUUUUGUAGGGGAAGAUAAUGACGGUACCCUAUGAAUAAGCCACGGCUAACUCUGUGCCAGCAGCCGCGGUAAGACAGAGGUGGCAAGCGUUGUUCGGAAUUACUGGGCUUAAAGGGCGCGUAGGUGGUGGCAUAAGUCCGAGGUGGAAGACUAAGGCUUAACCUUAGAAUUGCCUUGGAAACUGUAUCACUUGAGUCAGCGAGGGGAUGGCGGAAUUCCAGGUGUAGCGGUGAAAUGCGUAGAUAUCUGGAGGAAGGCCGGUGGCGAAGGCGGCCAUCUGGCGCUGAACUGACACUGAGGCGCGAAAGCGUGGGGAGCAAACAGGAUUAGAUACCCGUGUAGUCCA